rnacentral:tRNA from 1 species
CGCGGGAUAGAGUAGCGGACAACUCAUCAGACUCAUGAUCUGAAGACCGUAGGUUCAAAUCCUACUCCCGCAA